rnacentral:rRNA from 1 species
UAACAGUUGGAAACGACUGCUAAUACCGCAUAAGCGCACAGGAUCGCAUGAUCCGGUGUGAAAAACUCCGGUGGUAUGAGAUGGACCCGCGUCUGAUUAGCCAGUUGGCAGGGUAACGGCCUACCAAAGCGACGAUCAGUAGCCGACCUGAGAGGGUGACCGGCCACAUUGGGACUGAGACACGGCCCAAACUCCUACGGGAGGCAGCAGUGGGGAAUAUUGCACAAUGGGGGAAACCCUGAUGCAGCGACGCCGCGUGAGCGAAGAAGUAUUUCGGUAUGUAAAGCUCUAUCAGCAGGGAAGAAGAAUGACGGUACCUGACUAAGAAGCACCGGCUAAAUACGUGCCAGCAGCCGCGGUAAUACGUAUGGUGCAAGCGUUAUCCGGAUUUACUGGGUGUAAAGGGAGCGCAGGCGGUGCGGCAAGUCUGAUGUGAAAGCCCGGGGCUCAACCCCGGUACUGCAUUGGAAACUGUCGUACUAGAGUGUCGGAGGGGUAAGUGGAAUUCCUAGUGUAGCGGUGAAAUGCGUAGAUAUUAGGAGGAACACCAGUGGCGAAGGCGGCUUACUGGACGAUAACUGACGCUGAGGCUCGAAAGCGUGGGGAGCAAACGGGAUUAGAUACCCUGGUAGUCCACGCCGU